rnacentral:lncRNA from 1 species
CACUCCCACUCACACAUAGUCUGGUCAGCAACGGCUUAUGUGCACUCCCACUCGUACAUAGCCGGGUCAGCAACGGCUUAUGUGCACUCCUACUCGCACAUAGCCGGGUCCACAUCAACAUACAAAGAAGCACCCAAUGCAUAUCAUGCAUAUUAUCAUAUUGUGAUAACACAUAACCCAUUGUAUAGCACAUUUUCACAAUAUAAAA